UCCUACGGGAGGCAGCAGUGGGGAAUAUUGCGCAAUGGGGGCAACCCUGACGCAGCAACGCCGCGUGCAGGAAGAAGGUCUUCGGAUUGUAAACUGUUGUCGCAAGGGAAGAAGACAGUGACGGUACCUUGUGAGAAAGUCACGGCUAACUACGUGCCAGCAGCCGCGGUAAUA
rnacentral:rRNA from 1 species